rnacentral:lncRNA from 1 species
UAUCCUUUCCCCCAGCAAAUGUUUCUUCCUCUUCAUCCAUGCUCCACGCCAUUCUUGAAGCUUCCAUGCCAUUUUCUCUUUAUCCACCAUGAAAUCAAGUUUUCUUCACUUUCUUUUCCUUUCUUCUCCAAACUUCUUGAGCACUAAAUUUACAGCCUUUAACUCCAAUUUCCAGCACGUCUAAACCCUAGGAGGAGAAGAAAGAAAAAGAGAAAAAGGAAGAAAAAAGCUUGGUUUUGGUGAUUCAAGCAAGGAACGGUAAGAAUUAUUGUUUUUGGUUUGAGUAGUCUUUGAAAAUGAGUUAGUGACUUAGAGAAAUGUCUUGUGGCAGCAAAGAUUGGCUUGAUUGGAGAAAAAUUGAUAACAUGUAAGCCAAUAAACCCAUGGGUACAUGAAGGUCUCAAAGUGGAAAAGGAAAACUGUAAGCUUAAUACUAUGUUUUAAAGCCUACGGUUAGUUGAAUAUUGUGAGGAAUUAUGGUUGUUGAAAGGAUUUAUUUACCUAAGCUAGUUGAAAAUUAUUAAGAUUGUAUGGCAUGUUGUUUGAAAGAAAUGAAAGAGGAAUAUUGUGGAUGGAGAAUUGAGAAACAAAGUAUUGAAAGUUAGAUAGAUAACGAUGCAUGUAAACUAGGAAAUAAUUGAGUGAAAGUGAGAAUGAUUGUUGCUGCUAUAUAUGUGGAUUAUGUGUGGAAAUAUAAGAUGGAUUUGGGAAGAAAUUAUUUAAAAAGGUUAAAGUAGGCAUGUGACAUCAUAAAUAAGUUAUCGGUGAUAUAAUCUAAGAAAUUUCGUAAGCAAUGGAUAUAAGUUAUUUUGGUAAAAAUCUAUUAAGAUGUGAGUUAAUUGAAGAUGAUUUCAUGAUAGGAUGAAAAAUAUAAAUUUGAGUAAGGAUUAAUUGAUUGAAGUGCUACCCGUAUACAGAUGUAAUUAAAUAUAUUGAGUUCAUAUUAUUGCUAGGAAGUGCAAAGAUAAGGUUAAGAACUGUGGUGGCGUGCCAGAGUAAAUAACGAGGGACCGACCAAUGAAAAUAAUUAGAGACACCUCUGAACAAAUAGCGACUUAAUAUAUCGUUGUUUCCAGGUGAGUGAACUUGCAUUAAAAUCUUUUGGAAUAAAUGAUUAUAUGCUUGAUUGAGCCACUUGAAAUAUUUUGUUGGUUUUUCUUUAAAAAUUGCAUGGGAACAAGCCCUUGAUAAAAUGUUUUGAUAUUAUGAGAUAUGAACAUGAUGAAUUCAUGAGUUUCUACAUUAUGUUGAUGUGUAUAUUAUACAUUAAAUGAUACUUUUGUGUGAUAAUUAUGACCCAGCCAUGUGCGGUGUAGGAGUGCACAUGAGCUGUGCUAACCCGGCCAUGUGCGAUGUAGGAGUGCACAUGAGCUGUGCUUACUUGGCCAUGUGUGGUGUAUGAGUACACAUGAGCUGUGCUGACUCGGCCAUGUGCGUGGUGUAUGAGUGCACAUGUGUUGUGCUGACUCGGCCAUGUGCAGUGUAGUGGUGCACAUGAGCUGUGCUGACCCAGCCAUGUGCGGUGUAAGAGUGCAUAUGAGCUGUGCUGACCCAGCUAUGUGCGGUGUGGUAAUGCACAUAAGCUGAGACAGAGUUGGGGGUGAGGCCGGUGG